UGAUGAUGAGUUGAGGAAGUUGCUCAUAGAAGCGUUCGUGGACAAUGCAAGAUUGAGAAUGCAAGUCAAUUCGGUAAUUCGUUGUGCUCUAAAUGCACAUGUGAAGUCAGAUAAAGAUGAAGAGGAAGAGGAGGAGGUAGAGGGAAAUUCCUUGAGGAAAACAGUUUUAAGUAAGUUCUUGGAAAGGUGAUAUGUAAUGCGUGGAACCCAUCCAUAUUAAAAGUAUAUAAAUUCAAAAUUAUUGCCAUGUACUACACACCAUAGUGUAAAUUAAGGAUAAAUUAAGGAUGAGUAUUAUUCGAUUUAAAUUGAAUCAUUCGAUUUUUAAUAUAAUUUAAUUCGAUUUAAUUUUAUAUUAUAAAAAUUUCAAUUAUUUUG
rnacentral:misc_RNA from 1 species